rnacentral:rRNA from 1 species
CCUACGGGUGGCAGCAGUAAGGAAUAUUGCUCAAUGGGGGAAACCCUGAAGCAGCAACGCCGCGUGGAGGAUGAAGGUUUUAGGGUUGUAAACUUCUUUUACCAGGGACGAAGAAAGUGACGGUACCUGGAGAAAAAGCUCCGGCUAACUACGUGCCAGCAGCCGCGGUAAUACGUAGGGAGCGAGCGUUGUCCGGAUUUACUUGGUGUAAAUGGCGUGUAGGCGGAGCUGCAAGUCAGAAGUGAAAUCUCCGGGCUCAACCCGGAAACUGCUUUUGAAACUGUAGCCAUUGAGUAUCGGAGAGGGAGGCGGAAGUCCUAGUGUAGCGGUGAAAUGCGUAGAUAUUAGGAGGAACACCAGUGGCGAAGGCGGCCUGCUGGACGACAACUGACGCUGAGGCGCGAAAGCGUGGGGAGCAAACAGGAUUAGAUACCCGGGUAGUC